rnacentral:lncRNA from 1 species
UAUAAUUUGAGACGGAGGAGUAUUAUUAAUCUUCAAAUCUUAUACCAGACUAACAGUGUUGCUAGGUAGCAUAUGGCUCUAUGAUUAUAUUUUGUAUUGGUUUUGAUUAGGUAAUAAUUGUCUUCCUAAACAUUUAUAUUGUUAUCUUCCUAAACCUUUCUUGAAAAUCCAGAUAGCAUGGUACGUACAUACUCCACCGGGUGUAGCCAAGACUGUUGUCUAUUUGGCUUCACAAAAAUGGGUAAGGGUUUGAUACAAGCCUACAUCAAUGCUUGCUUGCUAAAAAGAGCUUCAAUGAAGAGAGACUCCCAAUUAUACAAGUGUAUUCUCCUUUUCCAUCUACUGCACCAAAAAUUACAUAUUAACUUUUCAAGCUGCUCUCCAAAAAAAAAAAAACUUUCAAGCUCAUCACAUGUACCUUUAGGCAAAAGGAAACAACUCAUAAGACAAAUAUUGAGGCACAAGUGUUGGUAAUGUUCUUAACUCUUGUGCAAAAAAUUGUUCAAAAUCUUAAAAGUUUAAGCAUAAUUAAACAAAUUUAGAUUUAGCAGGGACUAAAACUGAGUGCAUAAUUUUUUUAUAUGAACUAAAAGCACUAUUAAAAUUAAGUAAGGACUAAACUUAAAAGGUUCCAAUUUUAUAAGGAUCAAAAACAUAUGAUGUCAUUUACCACAUAACAGUCAUGUCACUUGAAAUGUCCAUGUGGCAUGUCUGAGUCAGCAUUCUGUUAGCCUAGUCAGCACAGUUUGACGGCAAGGACCAAACUUACAAACGGAAAAAAAAAUAUUGGGGAUGAAAAAAUUUAUAAAAUUUAAAUAGUGACAAAUGUUGAAAGCUUGCUUAUUUGUAAGGACCUUAAACAUAAUUAACCCUAAAUUUAAAUUAUAACCAUUUGUCACUUAAGAGAUCAAAUGGAACAGAAAAUAAAAUUUAAGAGAUCAAUGUGUCUAUUAUUUAUAGAUCAAAGGACUAAAAUGGAAGGAAAAUAACUUCGGGUACUAAUUUAAGAUCUAAAAAUAAUUUAAGGGCCCAAAAAUUUAUAAUUUAAAAAAGACAAAAAUAGCAAUGGAGAUUUCAUCUUGGGAAAUGGACUACACUCACACAACUUGACGAAAGAAUAUUUAAAUACCUACACAAACAAGUACUCACAUUUAAUCCUUUCAAACAAAAAAAAAAGUGCUCACAUUUAAUGUCUGAAAUGUAUUGAAUAAAUUUUCUAUUACAAAUUCUAGAAAUCUCAGCUCAAUUUUGCCAAAAAAAAAGAGUCUUGGCUCAACUAGAAAAUACUGAAAUUAUUAUAUUGAACGCCAUAACCGUUGUGUUUGUAAGUGUAUAGUAAUUUUGUUAUUUUGUUUAUGAAAAAAUGUCAUAACUAUUAGAUCAGACACCGAAGUGAUGUUCCGCCUUCUUUAUCAUUUCUUUUCCUUAAUUCGAUUAUUUUACUUACCUUUUUUUUUUUUGUCAAUUAGUCUAAUGGCUAGUUUUACUUACCUUUUUAUUCCUAUACAAUUUGGUUAUUUAUCAAUCUGUAUGUUUAAUGCUUUAAGAAUUCUUGUGAAGAUGUUGUAUUAAAUUCAUUUGUGUGGUUGCUCUAAUUCAAUGUGAUGAUCAUUGGACUUUCUCCCAUUUCCCAACAACAAUUCCGCAGCAUAAGAGUGUGUAACUUAACAUUUAAGAACAAUUUUGAAAAAUUAGCACUCUGACUCAAAAUAAAAUAUUUAAUAACAAUAUUUAAUAAAUAAAUUAAAAAAAAAAACAAAGUUUUGAAGAGUUAGAUUCCGUCUAGACCGACCUACAUUGCCAAUAUUAGUAUAAUGUUUGAUUUGAUUUAUAAAUGGUUAAUUGCAUUUAAUAUGAAAGGUUAAAUGCAUUUAGUAUAAAUAAUUCAUAAUCUAGUAAAUAAGUUAUUGCAGUUGUUUGCCUUGCAAAAACAUGAGAAAAUUCAAUCACAAUCAAACAACUUCUCCCAAUUUGAUCCAACACAAUACAUAACUAUGGAAUAUGUGGUGUCUAUAUCCAUGAUCAAUUUCACUUCAUCCAUGGAGUCAGUAUCAUACACUAGAAUACCCAGAAUUUCCACUAGCAAAAUGUCACAAACAUCGUCAACCCUUGGAACAUCUUAUGAGACAACCCAGAGUCAAUAAUUGAUGUGUUAUUCAAACAACUACCAUUCAUGUUUAUUUUAACAAAGCCACCAUGGAGGAUGUUCCCAACGAUCGACUAGAAUAACAGACAAAGUAUGGUUACCUUCCAUAUUUGGGCCGUAAUAGAUGAUUCAACAAUAUUCCUGCCAUUAGGUUGAGUUGAAUCAUAAACUAUAGAUCUCUUAUUUAACAACAAUCAAUAUUUUUCACCCUGCUCAAUUUUAAUUAUUAUUUUUGUUGAUGUGAUGUAUCGUUAAUUAAUGAUGUGCGCCAUUGAGUUUGAGUUUUUUAUUUUAUUUUUUUACGAAAAUGUAUCUUUAUAACUAUGAUGAUUAUGCCACAUCAUUAAUAUUGAUGUUAAAAAAAGGAAAAUGCUAACUGAAAGACGGACACUUAUCCACAUUUUCUCCAAGUAUCCAACAAAAUAUAUCACAGCUUAAAAGUUGUUAUAUUUAACCAGAACCUUUUUUGAGCAAAUAUUUAACCAGAACCUAAAUGAUAGGAUCUUACGUAUCCAACAAAAACCUUGAGAAACAUCCACCUAUAACUUAACAUAACAUAUCCUCAAUCCUCAACAAAAAUCUAUUUAUAGAGGAUCACACCUGUUUCGCUUGUAGAUGUUACUGGACUUGGCAAUCUUCUCUACUAUUUAUUCUUGAUUCUUUACCUCUCUAUUCUACACUCUUUCUUUUCCUCUUGAUUUUUUUUUCACUUCAUUUUCAACUUUCUUGGUCUUGUUUUCGGUCUAGUUAGGAUUACAAAAAUGGACACCAUUGUAGGAAACCCUUUGCAUCUAAAAUCGGUGAAUCAUAUCUCCCUUGUAACACCCUUACUAGACAUUACCUAGGAUAUCUAGCGUGUGUGUUAAACUUGGUAUUGGAUACAUUAAAAUUACAAUAAUAAAAAUUCCCGCAGAAUAAAAUAUAAAAUUCUCGUCUUAUACCUUUGAAAUAAUACCACUGACGUGAAUUUUAUAUAGUCCGGCAACUGCUUCUUCAUCACGAACCUUUAUGUCGUCUAGUAACCUCUGAAUAUCUUAAAUAAAUAAAAAUAAUUGGGGUGAGACAUGAUGUCUCAGUGAGUUCCACCUAUCUUAAGGUGUAGGCAAUCUCAGGGACCCUAAGAUCGUCAUAUGUUCUAAACUCAACCCAUUUCGGGUUUAUAUAGUCUUUAUCAUACAUAAUUGUGCGAUCGGGGAUAACUAGGAUCGCUACCUAGAAUACUAUCAUGAUACUAUUAUAAUGUCAUAUUCUUAUUCAUACACAUUCUCAUAAUCAUAAUAAUAAUUUUUGACUUAAAUUCAUGUCAUUAAUUAUACAUUUCUUGUCUUAAAGUUUUUCGUUGUGGCUAACGGUAACUAUUUCUUUUUUUUUUUUUUUUUUUUUUUACUAUGUGCCAUACCUCAUAGGCUGCGUUAUCUUUUUGUUGCAGCAAAUAGUGUUUUCGCAUUUGUUACUAUGAGUCGUACCUCAUAGGCUACAUUAUCUCUUCGCUGUAGCAAACGGAGAUUUCGCAUUCGUUACUAUGAGCCGUACCUCAUAAGCUACAUUAUCUCUUCGUUGUAGCAAACGGAGAUUUCGCAUUCGUUAUUAUGAGUCGUACCUCAUAGGCUACAUUAUCUCUUCAUUAUAACAAACGAAGAUUUUCUCAAUUUUUUUCUUUCUAUGAGCAUGUUACUCAUUUCAAAUUUUCUACUCAUUUCAAUUUUCUUUCAAAUCAUUAGUAUGAUUAUAUACAUCAAUUGCGUUGAUAGAAUUUGUCUCCCACAUUUAUACUAGCAUAAACAUACUUAUUAACAUAAAUGAGAUUUUUAGAAUAAACAAUUAAGGAUACCUAAUUCAGAAAUAAUCAUUCUACUAUCUCAUAUUUAUUCUGUUUCAAAUGUACCAUUCAUAUGGCAUGAUAGUCAUGCUUGCACAAUCGGCAAGUAAUCAUAAAGAGGAUCUAAUUAUUCAUGUUAUCUCAAUAAUCUAAUAUAAUCAUAAUUGAUCCCCAAAGGUGGGUUCUAAGCUAAAGGAACUCACCUUUAAUCCUUUAAAAUAACAUAGGCUCGUCUCACUUUUGCAUUUCAAACCUCAACCAACUUCACGCUCAACCAUGAGGGCUUCCGUAAUUAACCUUGAAUGAUGAUUCCUAAGCUCCUCAAGCAUCAAAACAAGUCAUUACCAUAAUCACCCACAACCUAGUAGCUAUCCAUCAUGGGUAUUCCAAAAACAAGUUUACUUGAUGAUUUCCAUGGAAUUGGAGGAAAGAUUAUGAACUUGGAAAAUGAGAGAAAGAGGGGCGGUUGAGCAAUUGGAGGGAGGAGAAGUGAUUAUUAAACUAGUUUCUUGGUUAAAACUCUACUAGGAACCUAUUAAAGCAUGUACCAUGAUGAUUCCAUGAUGAAUUGUGAAUUUGAU